CCAAUUUUAGUUUACUAGAAUAUUCUUUUGUUAAUAGAAGGGUUAUUAUUGGU
rnacentral:tRNA from 1 species